GUUGGUUUCGGGCAUGCGCCCAUCUUGGUUAAAAUGUCGGAUGCAGUGAGUGAUCUCGAGCGAAAGGAAAGAGCAACGACGUCUGAGGGCUGCAGCCAUGAAACUUCUUGCAAAUCUCAAAAGAAAAGAAGAAGUCGGUCUGAAGGAACAGAGAUAACUUCUGAUACAGAUAGUCCAGACGGUAGCCAAGAUACUUCUUUUGCAUCUCCAAAGAAAAAGUCGGACGCUGAAAGUGAAGCAGAUACAACUUCUGAUACAGAUAGUCCAGAUUCCGUGAAACGAUGUAAACGAGUCCAUUUUGAAACAGAAACCUCUUUGUCACGAACGGAUUCAGAAAGCCCGGUGUUUCUAAAGAAUAUUCCAAAAUACACAUCUAAAUGGUCAGAAGAAGUACUACCAUGUCUUAGAAUUCAGAGUGUUGGAGGAUCUUGCAAGGAAACUUAAGCUAUUUGUGUGGCAGCUAAUGCACAUGGUGAGAAAAUCACAGAAUCAAGGGAAAGAAAUAACUAAAGGAAUGUACCAGGAAUUGUUUGUGCUCUUUGCUAAAACAUUCAAUCUUCAUAUUUUGUCAGGAUCCAAUGUUGAAAAGUACACUAUGGGUAUUGGGGAUGACAAUAGAUUUGUUGCUGUACCAGAUGCUGUGAUCUGCCAUCCAAAUACAGAUAAGGACAACAUAUGUGCUGUAGUAGAGGUUAAGAAAUAUUGGUUAGAUGAAGAUUAUUCAAACCAAAAUGUGCAUAGCCUUACGAAAAUGUGAAAGGAGAAUUUCUAAUCCCCAUCAUAUUGGAUCAGAUUUACAAAGUCAGCAUGUUGGACAGAUUCUUUGUGCUCAACCACACUCACUGUUCGGAGAGAAAGGGAAUUUUGGAAUUGUAGUCCAAGGAACAAAAGUGAUGAUUUCAUCAUUCAAGGCAGACAGUUUUUACUACCAGAAUUUGAAAAAUGGGUUUCUGAUGGAAAAAGGAGCAACAAUAACAUUCAGUAAAGAAUGUAACAUACUCAGAAAGGAAGGGAGAACAGAUUGUAUUCAAACCUUUCUUCAUUUUAAGAAACUGAUGGAGUUUUUAAGUAAAAAAUCUUUUUCCUAAUCAAUAAAUAUUUGUAUGUUG
rnacentral:misc_RNA from 1 species